UGAAUACGAGACGCUAAGGCGUCGAAGUAGUGUAUGUCAUACUUCCAAGAAAAGCUUGCACUGUCAUAGAUAAAAAACGCCUGUACCAUAACCGACACAGGUGGGUAGGUAGAGCAUACUAAGGGGCGCGAGAUAACUCUCUCUAAGGAACUCGGCAAAAUAACUCCGUAACCUCGGGAGAAGGAGUGCCUUAUUCGUAAGGUUGCAAUAACAAGAUCCAAGCAACUGUUUAUCAAAAACACAGGUCUCCGCUAAGUCGUAAGACGAUGCAUGGGGGCUGACGCCUGCCCAGUGCCAGAAGGUUAAAGAAGUUGGUUAGCAAUUGCGAAGCUGAUAACUGAAGCCCUGGUGAACGGCGGCCGUAACUAUAACGGUCCUAAGGUAGCGAAAUUCCUUGUCGGGUAAGUUCCGACCCGCACGAAAGGCGUAAUGAUUUGGAUACUGUCUCGGAGAGGGGCUCGGUGAAAUAGACUUGUCUCUGAAGAUGCGGACUACCUGCACCAGGACAGAAAGACCCUAUGAAGCUUUACUGUAACUUGAAAUUGAAAUUGGACUUUAUUCGCGCAGUAUAGGUGGGAGGCGUUGAUUAUAAUCUUGUGGGAUUAUUGGAGCCAUCAGUGAGAUACCACCCUUGUAAUGUUAGAUUUCUAACUUUGAAUCAUUAUCUGGUCAAAGAACAGUUUCAGGCGGGCAGUUUGACUGGGGCGGUCGCCUCCUAAACGGUAACGGAGGCGUACAAAGGUUUCCUCUGAACGGUUAGAAAUCGUAUCUAGAGUGUAAAGGCAUAAGGAAGCUUGACUGUGAGACCUACAAGUCGAGCAGGGACGAAAGUCGGUCUUAGUGAUCUGACGGUACUGAGUGGAAAGGCCGUCACUCAACGGAUAAAAGUUACUCUAAGGAUAACAGGCUGAUCUCCCCCAAGAGUUCACAUCGACAGGGAGGUUUGGCACCUCGAUGUCGGCUCAUCGCAUCCUGGGGCGGUAGUACGUCCCAAGGGUUGGGCUGUUCGCCCAUGAAAGCGGUACGCGAGCUGGGUUCAGAACGUCGUGAGACAGUUCGGUCCAUAUCCGGUGUAGGCGUUAGAAUAUUGAGAGGAGCCUUCUUUAGUACGAGAGGACCGAGAAGGACAUACCUCUGGUGUACCAGUUAUCGUGCCGACGGUAAACGCUGGGUAGCUAUGUAUGGAGUGGAUAACCGCUGAAAGCAUCUAAGUGGGAAGCCCACCUCAAGAUAAGUAUUCUCAUC
rnacentral:rRNA from 1 species